UUUAUAUUUAGCAAGAGAGGGAGGACAAAUAUGUGUGGAAGUUUAACAACAAGGGUCUGUAUAUGGUUAAUUCGGCAUAUAGAUACGCAAUGGAAACUCUUAUAUGACAAUGAAGAAUUAAGAGUACCGGAUGAGUGGAGCAGAAUAUGAUGUAUGUGUGGGUCGGGUCCAGUGGCGGAUCUUGAGUUAAGUUUCAGAAAGAAAAUAAUAUUAUAAAUUGGUGUGGUGGUACAAUUGCUUGAUUGUAAGAUGAGUGACGCCGGUUCAAAUCCCACCUUUAACUGAUUGAGAGACUGCACAACUGCUGCAACACCAACAUAUUAGUUGUAA
rnacentral:lncRNA from 1 species